rnacentral:rRNA from 1 species
UUGUCUCAAAGAUUAAGCCAUGCAUGUCUAAGUACAAGCCUCACUAAGGUGAAACCGCGAAUGGCUCAUUAAAUCACACCUAAUCUACUGGAUAGUCAACAGUUACUUGGAUAACUGCGGUAAUUCUGGAGCUAAUACAUGCACAAAGCCCCAAACUUACGUGAGGGGCGCUUUUAUUAGAUCAAAACCAAACGGCUUCGGCUGUUCUCUUGGUGACUCUGAAUAACUUUGGGCUGAUCGCAUAGCCUAGCGCUGGCGACAUAUCCUUCGAAGGUGUGCCCUAUCAACUGUCGACUGUGGCAUAGACGCCCACAGUGGUUUUGACGGGUAACGGGGAAUCAGGGUUCGAUUCCGGAGAGGGAGCCUUAAAAACGGCUACCACAUCUAAGGAAGGCAGCAGGCACGCAAAUUACCCAAUGACCGAAGGUCGAGGUAGUGACGAAAAAUAACGAUACGGGACUCAUCCGAGGCCCCGUAAUCGGAAUGAGUACACUUUAAAACCGUCCCCGAGGAUCUAUUGGAGGGCAAGUCUGGUGCCAGCAGCCGCGGUAAUUCCAGCUCCAAUAGCGUAUAUUAAAGUUGUUGUGGUUAAAAAGCUCGUAGUUGGAUCUCGGCAGUCCGAGGGCGGUUCGCUUGCUAGUGUUACUGCCUUAUGGACUGUAGUUUUGCCAGAGGUCUCGGGGUGCUCUUAACCGAGUGUCUCGUGAUGCUGGCAGGUUUACUUUGAAAAAAUUAGAGUGCUCAAAGCAGGCUUUUACGCCUGAAUAUUCGUGCAUGGAAUAAUGGAAUAGGAAGUCGUUUCUAUUUUGUUGGUUUUCGGAAAUCGACUUAAUGAUUAACAGGGACAGUCGGGGGCAUUUGUAUUCAAACGACAGAGGUGAAAUUCUUGGACCGUUUGAAGACAAACUACUGCGAAAGCAUUUGCCAAGAAUGUUUUCAUUAAUCAAGAACGAAAGUUAGAGGUUCGAAGGCGAUUAGAUACCGCCCUAGUUCUAACCAUAAACGAUGCCAGCUAGCGAUCUGCCGACGUUUUUUUUGUAGACUCGGCAGGAAGCUUCCGGGAAACCAAAGCAUUUGGGUUCCAGGGGAAGUAUGGUUGCAAAGCUGAAACUUAAAGGAAUUGACGGAAGGGCACCACCAGGAGUGGAGCCUGUGGCUUAAUUUGACUCAACACGGGAAAUCUCACCAGGCCCGGACACUGGAAGGAUUGACAGAUUGAUAGCUCUUUCUUGAUUCGGUGGGUGGUGGUGCAUGGCCGUUCUUAGUUGGUGGAGUGAUUUGUCUGGUUAAUUCCGAUAACGAACGAGACUCUGUCCUGCUAAAUAGUGUCGGCCUCUCUUUUGGGCAGACAAUUCUUCUUAGAGGGACUGGCAACUCUCAGUUGCACGAGAUUGAGCAAUAACAGGUCUGUGAUGCCCUUAGAUGCUCUGGGCCGCACACGCGCUACACUGAAUAGAUCAACGUGUUCUCCCUUUCCGAGAGGAACGGGUAAACCGCUGAACCCUAUUCGUGGUAGGGAUCGGGGCUUGCAAUUGUUCCCCGUAAACCAGGAAUUCCCAGUAGGCGCAAGUCAUAAGCUUGUGUCGAUUACGUCCCUGCCCUUUGUACACACCGCCCGUCGCUACUACCGAUUGAACGUUUUAGUGAGGUCCUCGGACUGUUUGGUAGGCGGA